rnacentral:rRNA from 1 species
GUCUCAAAGAUUAAGCCAUGCAUGUCUCASUACAAGCCAAAUUAAGGUGAAACCGCGAAAGGCUCAUUAAAUCAGUUAUGGUUCCUUAGAUCGUACCCACAAUUACUUGGAUAACUGUGGUAAUUCUAGAGCUAAUACAUGCAAACAGAGCUCCGACCGGAGACGGAAGGAGUGCUUUUAUUAGAUCAAAACCAAUCGGUGGCGGGUUCGCUCGUUAUCGUACAACUUGGUGACUCUGAAUAACUUUACGCUGAUCGCACGGUCUUCGCACCGGCGACGCAUCUUUCAAAUGUCUGCCUUAUCAACUGUCGAUGGUAGGUUCUGCGCCUACCAUGGUUGUAACGGGUAACGGGGAAUCAGGGUUCGAUUCCGGAGAGGGAGCCUGAGAAACGGCUACCACAUCCAAGGAAGGCAGCAGGCGCGCAAAUUACCCACUCCCGGCACGGGGAGGUAGUGACRAAAAAUAACGAUACGGGACUCAUCCGAGGCCCCGUAAUCGGAAUGAGUACACUCUAAACCCUUUAACGAGGAUCAAUUGGAGGGCAAGUCUGGUGCCAGCAGCCGCGG